UUUCCGUAGGUGAACCUGCGGAAGGAUCAUUACAGAGUUCAUGCCCGAAAGGGUAGACCUCCCACCCUUGUGUAUUAUUACUUUGUUGCUUUGGCGAGCGCAAGCGCGCCAGAGAAUACAAAACUCUUUUUAUUAAUGUCGUCUGAGUACUAUAUAAUAGUUAAAACUUUCAACAACGGAUCUCUUGGUUCUG
rnacentral:misc_RNA from 1 species